AACCCGUGAUUGCUGGGACUGGCUCAAGCUCCACCAGGAGCCGUCGUUCUUUUACAAAGAGGGGUGGAGGUUCCAGUGGAGGUUGUUGUUGCCUUUUUUUUUUUUUUUAAAUGAAUGGAGGGCGGCGGCGACUGCUGCAGCUGGGCCAGCUGCGCGGGCUGCACCCCCUCCCAGCCUGCGAGAGGAGGAAGCUAGUAGAAGAUUUGUACCAACAAAACCAAGGAGUAAACAACUUGAGAAUAACUGCGUGAGCUCAGGCUUGGGGAAGAUUCAAAGGCGGUGUUGGGAAAAUUGGAUAUCCAUCUGCAGAAAAAUGAAUGAAAAAUGAAACUAGACCCCUAUCUUUCACCAUACACAAAAAUAGAUUCAAACUGGAUUAAAAACUUAAAUGUAUGACCUGAAAUUAUGAAACUACUAGAAGAAAACAGGGAAAAUGCUUCAGAUCUGGGCAAAGAUUUUACAGGGCUUGGACUGUCAGAUUCCAUUUCUAAGCUUCCAGAAGAACGACACAUAGACACUGGGGAAGUCAGAGCCUUUGAACUCCAGUGCCAUCCCCGUCACCCACCUCCACCACCAGCACCACCACCGAAUGGCACUUUGGACAAUUUUUCCCUCUCAUGUGACUUUUGUCAUUUCUUACGUCAGUUGGAGCCAGCACCUCUCAAAUCCAUCUUCUAAAACCCAGAAAAUUGUGUGUAACACAUGAUGACUGAAAGGGAGUAGGCUGACCAGUUAAGAGCCUGCCACUGGAAUGGAAGGCUGUGGGAAGGUGAGGGGACUGUGGACAUCAACCGGGAAGAGCUGAAAGAUGGCGUUACCAGGUAUCUACCCUGCUACCCUGCAUAGAAUUCCCAAGACCCAGGGUGGGUUUUUAUGCUUCCCCUUUUAAUAUUUAUUUUUAUUAUUUGUCAGUAGAAGUGUCUUUAUCUUAAAAAAUUAAUACAUUAUUGUUGUCACC